ensembl:lncRNA
CCACAAUUUUCUCCCCGCUCUCUUGAUUCUGAACUGUUUCUACUGAUUUCAACUGAUGUAAAAUACAUCUGACUAAGGCUGCUAUUAUUUUGCCUAGAAUUUAGUUGCUGUUUUGUUGCAUUUAUAGCUGAAAAAAAAAAAAGGCUUUAAAAAAAAAUUAAUUAUUUACAGAUUAGAAAGAAGCAGAGGAGGAACUUUCCAUGCAGCUUAUACCUUGAUGUAAAAGCUGAGAACCACAUUUGAGAAUCACAUCUCUUCCAGAACAGUAAUGGAAGGUUCCAGUUUCAGUCAACACUGGUCAGAGCAAGCGUGAGCGAUGUGAGGACAGGAGAGCUAUUUAAUACAUCGGAAAGCCGAUUCUCGAGAAGUACGGAUUUUAGAGUGCAUCUUUUCAAGCUCCUGGCAUUAUAGGAAAAUACAUUCAAAACAAGCAAAUGAAAAGCCAAUGAAGAAUUCAUCUCAGGAUGAAAAAAAUCUGGCUGAUGGCUGCUCUGAAAAGACUGCUUCAGUACUGGAUCAGUGGAUCCAGUUGUUACUGCUUUUCUAGAUUAUGAGACAGCUGUUAUUGGAGAUAUGUCUUCAUAUUGGUCUCAAUGAUAAAGGAACAAGAAAUCACAUUACUUCAGCCCUUGUUACGUCAUCAUCACCAGACCCAUAGAACUUUCAGAGAUAUCAGGAUUUACAGAAGGAUCUUCUAAUGAAGGAAAAAGCUAUUAAAUCAACAGAUCUUUGCAGAGAUGACUGAGAUUCUUCACUAUUUAAGCAAUUUUCAAGAGGAUUAUAUGGUGGCUUAAUUGCAGCUGUUACAUGCAAAACAAUUAGUCAGAUAACCAUGCUAGAAUUGGAAAUGUAAGAUGAUUUAAUUCUAGUGGUCUAAAAAGAAAAUUGCUUUGUUAUUUUGUGAGUAGUCUUAUCUCAUUUUCCAUUAUAACUUAAACUUUGAAUCCACCUUUCAAACAGUAUGCAAGGCAGUUCUUAAAUUAUAGCAAAGGUUUUAUUGUUGUUGCUGUUGUUUACCAGUUUUCAAAGUAUUUGGAAAAUGCAUUCCAGAGGGAAAUGCAAUCAUUUCUGUACAUAUUAUACACCUCCUAUUCACUAUAUUUGGCACCUGUCUACUUGGUAGGCCAAACAAAGCUUAUUCUCUAACAUAAAUGUGAAAAGCUGUGUAAGAGCUUUGUAAAAUUUUAAAAGCAUCAUUAAAGUUAAUCUAGAUCAGUACUCCUACUAUCAUAUGAUUCACACUAAAAAUGGACUUCUUACUCUGCAAUUUCAAGCUAACAUACAUUAAUGUCUAGGUAAGAAUGUUAUAAGAAAUGUCAAAACUUAUAACAGAAACAUUUCUAUGUAGAAUUUAAUUUACCCUUCCAUUUGACAUUCCAAAGAGUAGUUCUCAGAGGCAAUACAUGACCGUAUUUUGUAUUCUUACUGUGCACUUACCUUUUGAAUUAAAAAAAAAAAAAGACAACUUUUUAUGGAAAGAUAACUGUAAUCACAGUCAAGCAUUCUGUGCCUAGCUGUAUUUCUGUUUAUGAACAUAAUUUGGACCUCUUCCAUAUAAGGUUUCUGAACUGUUUGGUCACCUGGGGACAGAAGGAUUUGAGUCCUCAGUUGCAUGAUCACCCAGAGAGCUAUCAUUUCUUGAAGCACCAUAAUGAUAUUUGUAAAACGUAAGUCUGACUAUUCUGACACUUAAAAUAAUUUUGAAGUGUGCAUGAGGUAACUAGCAGGGAAACGGAAAUAGCAAGAAGUUUGACAACUGUAUGUGAGGUUUCUGACUUCAUGAAUCCAAUAACUGCAUUUUUGAAGGGUUUCUGCAUAUAAACUGUAUGAUCAGAUAAGAUAGUGGUAACUUCCAUGUUUUCCCUGAAAAACAAAACAAAACAAACAAACAAACAAAAACUUUCACAAUUUACUCUAAUUCUUAUCAAGUAAACCAAAGAAAUCUAAAAAAAUAUAAGGUAUGGUAAAUUCAAAACUGAGCCACUUAUUCUCUCUUAUUUGCAGAACACAGUUAGCAGCAAGUGUCACAAAUAGGGAAGACAAAGAGAAGAGUCUGUCUUCAACUUUUUAGGAAGAUCUAACACUAAGGUAGCACUAAGACAACAAAGUACUACAGGGCAAAAUUGUAAAGUGAAACAGAAUAAUUUUCAAUCUUGACAAUGAGGAAUUCCAAUCAGUGAUCAUAAAACUAGGUAGAACAGCAAAGUGACAGGUUUAUGACAAUGUAGACAACUGCAAUGCAAAACACUUUUGAAAGAUUUUGCCCUUCAAAAUGUGUCUUUCUCUAUGAGUUAUUCCAAUCAGGAUAGAAAUUCCAUACAGAGAUUCUUGACAACAAUUUGAAAACAGACACUAAAAAAACACUAAAAAUACCAUAACUGUCCAAAUAAGAAGAAAUUAUUCAAAAUGAAAUACCUGCAAAUAUUAAGCUGGAUAUAAAAAAUAUGAUAUUCUAAUGUUCUUUUAUUUAUCUUGUGAUAAAUGCACACAUAUCUCCCUAUUGAUGGCCUCUACAUGAAAAGCAAAAUAAAAUAAAAAGAUAAAUAACUAUUUUUCAAGGAUAUGCUUGUAAGAAAACUGCUAUAAGUAUGGAGCCAUAAAAUCUGUAGAAGACAUAACAUUAAUAAACAUUACAUUAGUUUAUUUUGUGUUAUUCUGUUUCUGAAAUAAUAAAUAUCAUAAGAAUAUGAAUGGAUAAAUCUGUCUACUUUUUUGCCUUAAUUAACUAGCCAG